rnacentral:rRNA from 1 species
CAGCAGCCGCGAGAAAACGUAGGUGGCAAGCGUUGUCCGGAAUUAUUGGGCGUAAAGGGCUCGCAGGCGGUUUCUUAAGUCUGAUGUGAAAGCCCCCGGCUCAACCGGGGAGGGUCAUUGGAAACUGGGAAACUUGAGUGCAGAAGAGGAGAGUGGAAUUCCACGUGUAGCGGUGAAAUGCGUAGAGAUGUGGAGGAACACCAGUGGCGAAGGCGACUCUCUGGUCUGUAACUGACGCUGAGGAGCGAAAGCGUGGGGAGCAAACAGGAUUAGAUACCCCAGUAGUCCCUGUCUCUUAUAA